rnacentral:lncRNA from 1 species
AUAUUGAAAUAAGAUGAAGACAAAGGACCCAACUUUUCAUAAACAGCCAGAUUGCAUCCAGCAUUGUGCAGGCUUAUGUCAAAUCAGCCUAAGCCAUGGUCCUCCUGCCUGAGGUCACAGCCGUGGGAAUGGGCUUUAAAGCUUCUCCUCACUGCUGUUGUGAUAGUGGUAUGGUGGGAUCUCCCAUCAGCAUGGAGACAGCUCCUGAAAUCCUCCUUCACGUGAUCCUAAACUGACCCUUCAUCACAUGAUGGAAGAGGAAGGAGGCAUUGCACGGAACGACAGCGUCACUUUCAGCUUGGAGUCUGCCAGGGAUGGAGCAGAGGCUGUUGGAGAUUCUCAGGUUCAUCAUAUCUUCUACUUGCGUCGUAUUGACAGCUUGUUGCAUAAUCAAAGCGUUUUCCCAGGGAAAACCUUUGCAAGGACAGUUUCCUAACUGCCUGUAAAACUUCAUUUAUGCUGGCAAGCAAUUAUUCACAGGAGUAGUAUCACAAAGUCAACGGGACUAUUGGCAUGACUAAGGGGAAUAAAGAUGAUCACAAUAGGGCA